AGUUGCAUCUGUUGCACGCUCCGUGGGACAACAUGCAUUGCACAAGAACUGCAGCCACCUGAAAGCCCUCUUUUAUCUAAUUUGUACCGGCAUUCGAAGCAGCAGUCUAAGUCUGAAGGCGCCACAUCUGCAGCACCAAAGGAUAAACAUAAGGCUGCCAAUUCGUCUUACACUAUUAAUGAGGUCACACCAUCACACAAGAAAAGCAGGAUAAACUCAUAUGACGCUGAUGACGA